AUGGACUGUAGACCUCUGCUCCAGGUAACUGGUUUCCUAUAUCUAUUUUUCAAAUGCGUGCCGUGGCUUGUAAACCUAGCCCUGUUUUGUUUUUAUUUUAGUUGUUGCUUUUAUAUGAUAUUGGUUUGUUUUAUUUUCUAUGUAGAAAGCUUUCUGUGGGCAUGUUUGGAGGGUUUCCUGCACUGGAUUGGGAUUUCCUGUAAUAUAUUAGUGAAAAUCGUGAUGUUUCUGCAUUUGUGUUCACCCUGUGAAACCGCAGCUCAAGUUGGUUGGUCACUGGACAGUCACACUGCCUUACUUCAUCAGACUCUACAUGUAGCUCAUCUCUAGCCCUGAAUCUCUGCAAUCUGCUGACCCAUCAAAGUGGGAUCACCUAGAGAUAAGCUCAUGCUCUGCUGCUAAAAAGCAAAGGUUAGAACAGCUUUGUAUCAUUUCUAGAUUAAUUAAGGAGUGAUUAUCAAACCAAUUCCACUGUGACUGGAGGUAGAAAUACCUCUUGAAAACCAUUCAAGGGUGGAACUGUAUGCACAUCUGUGGUGGCCUUGUUGCCACGUGUCGAGGAGGGGGGAUGGCUUCAACCACAGAACAAAGGAAAGCCAAAAGAAAAAUGGGAUAUGUGAUUGUGGUGAGUAGAGUUUGGAGUGGAGAAAGGGAGAGUAGGUAUAGAAGAACAAAAGCUGGGUUUGGAGGAAGAGGAGUUGGCUUGCCAUGUAAUUUUUUCUUCCCCAGUGCUCCCCAGCUCUAAUUUAUACAAUAUAAAUAAUUAAAAGCUGUGCAGGCCCAGUGCUAAUCCUUGUGGUAUUCCACAGGCAACUUCCUUCCCACUUAGAAAGGAUUCCAUUGAGAAUUAUCCAAUGGUUCUGGCUCUGCAGCCAACUUUUCCACUCCCUUCCACGAGUCAGUGAGUAGGGCCUGAGCUCUUCCUUCCCUUGGUUCAGCCUUUCCCAAAAUGCAUGGCAGAGAAAUCCCAGUAUGGGAGGCUUAUUUCCUCUAGCCCUGGAGCUAGCUGUAGUCACAGCAGACCUGGAGGGAAG
rnacentral:lncRNA from 1 species